GUGAUCUUUAAGAUCUGUGGAAGAAAUAGAAGAUAGUGCUAUGACUUCCAAGAUGUGUCUCAUGGGAAGGAUCACUUAAAUGACACUUGUUGGUUGGUAAUGACUCUUUUUGAUGUUUGCUCACUUCUUCAAGCAAAGGGGAAAAUACUUAUGCAAACCCCACUGACUGGUCAGGUGAUGGUGUUGAACUUCUGCACUUCGUAGGAUCUCUAAGAUUGCACAGGCUCUUCUGACUGCCACAAGUCAAGUUACUUCUGUUUUCUCUAUAUGUUAAAAGACAGAAAAGCUUUUGUUCUGAAAAC
rnacentral:lncRNA from 1 species